rnacentral:rRNA from 1 species
UACGGGGGGGGUAAGCGUUGUUCGGAAUUACUGGGCGUAAAGGGCUCGUAGGCGGCCAACUAAGUCGGAUGUGAAAUCCCCAGGCUCAACCCCGGACCUGCAUCCGAUACUGCGUGACUAGAGGUAGGUAGGGGAGAUCGGAAUUCCUGGUGUAGCGGUGAAAUGCGCAGAUAUCAGGAGGAACACCGGUGGCGAAGGCGGAUCUCUGGGCCUUACCUGACGCUCAGGCGCGAAAGCGUGGGGAGCGAACAGG